rnacentral:misc_RNA from 1 species
GGUUGAGCUUGAAGGACCAUCAGAAGAUGAUUUCUUGUUACCAAACGAUGAUGUUUCUUCAAUGUCUCCUUAUAAACGUGAAAAAGUUCGAAACAAGAAUGCUAAACAGCUUACAUGGGUUCUUCUUCUUAAGGCUCAUAAAGCUGCUGGUUGUUUAACUUCUAUAGCAUCAGCAUUGUUCAGCUUAGCCUCCGUCGUGCGCCGCC